rnacentral:rRNA from 1 species
GUGGGGAAUAUUGCACAAUGGAGGAAACUCUGAUGCAGCGACGCCGCGUGAGUGAAGAAGUAUUUCGGUAUGUAAAGCUCUAUCAGCAGGGAAGACAGUGACGGUACCUGACUAAGAAGCUCCGGCUAAAUACGUGCCAGCAGCCGCGGUAAUACGUAUGGAGCAAGCGUUAUCCGGAUUUACUGGGUGUAAAGGGAGUGUAGGUGGCAGCACAAGUCAGAAGUGAAAGCCCGGGGCUCAACCCCGGGACUGCUUUUGAAACUGUGCAGCUAGAGUGCAGGAGAGGUGAGUGGAAUUCCUAGUGUAGCGGUGAAAUGCGUAGAUAUUAGGAGGAACACCAGUGGCGAAGGCGGCUCACUGGACUGUAACUGACACUGAGGCUCGAAAGCGUGGGGAGCAAACAGGAUUAGAAACCCCGGUAGUCC